AUCCCAUGGUGUGGACAUUGCCUUAACAAUUCCUUAAAUCUUUUCCAAGCAUCAAACAAAGAUCCAUCCUCUCUUUUCCUAAAUGAAGUGAUUUCGUUUCUCAUUUU